AUGGGCAGUCACUCCAAUAUCUUUGUCAAGAAAACAGGAGAUGGAAUCACAAAGAGUCAAGCACAAAGGAAACGAAGGAACAACAAAAAGAAAGCAGAAUUCUCCAUUUCAUUUCAUCAGAGAAGAAAGUGCAAUCAAAAUAGAUGGGCAGCAAGGUGUCACAUUAGGCAGAGUGCCAAUCACUCCAAUAUUUUUGUAAAGAAAACAGAAGAUGGAAUCACAAAGAAUCAGGCACAACGGAAACAAAGAAACAACAAAAAGAAACCAGAAUUCAUCAUUUCAUUUCAUCAGAGAAGAAAGUAAAAUGAAAAUAUAUGGCAGCAAGGUGUUACAGUAGGCAGAGUACCAAUCACUCUAAUAUCUAUGUCAAGAAAACAGGAGGUGGAAUAACAAAGAGUCAGGCAUAAUGGAAAGGAAGGAACAACAACAACAACAACAACAACAACAACAACAACAACAACAAAACGAAUUCACCAUUUCAUUUCAUCAGAUAAGAAAGUAAGUCUACAAAGCCAAUUUAAUAAGAUAUUUCACUAAUUGGUCAAAAAAGCUUCUGAUGUGGUCUUAAAGAUUUUGGGAUCAAAUCUAUAUUCUCUUUUAAUUGCCUCUGUGUGACAUGGAAAAUAUUCAGCUUUUCAUGAAUUCAGAUUUCUUGUUUAUUAAAAGAGAAUAGCUUGGCUAGAAGGUUUCUAAUUCAGGGGGAUAAGUUUUUUUUAAGCACUGACUAUGAGUCAUGCAGGAAGUCAGUCAUUCAGCAUUUAUUAAGGACACUUAACCUAAAGGAGCUCAUAUUUAGGGGUGGUGGAGACAAUAUGCAAAUCAUUUUGUGCUGGGCAGCUAGUUGACAGGGUGAUAGAAUACUGGCUAGGCUUAGAAUCAGGAAGAUUCAUCUUUAUGGGUUGAAAUCUCCUUAUACACACUAUUUGUGUGAUCUUGGGUAAUUCACUUUAACUCCAUUUGCCUCAGUUCCUCCUGUUAAAUUAGCUUAAGAAGGAAAUGGCAAACCACUCUAAUAUUUCUGCUAUGAAACUCCAAAUGGAGAUACUUAGAGUCAGAUAUGAUUGAACAACAAUAAGAACAAGAUAUAUUCAGUGUAAAUGGCUGGUAUUUUCUGAGGGAAGAUACUAGCAGUGAGAAUAAUUAGGGAAGGCUUCUUAGAGAUGUUGGAAUUUGAUUUGUCUUGUAGAAAUAAAGACAGGGGAGCUAAUAGUUAGUCUAAGAAG
rnacentral:lncRNA from 1 species